ACUUCUUCCUGUCCGUGUGAAUUAUCCCUCUUCAGUGGUUCCUAUGGAUUCGCGCCCCAGUCCCGCCCGCACAAGCACCUGCAAUACUUCCCAGGAGCUCCUUGAUGCCAUUUCUGGAUAGUUGCAGUACUCUCAGAUCCUGAAACAACUCAGUAUACUUAGGAAGUUCCUGUAUGCUGGUUCUGCUUAUGUGCCAUUCUCUGAGAUUUGAGGAGUUUACUGAUUUGAUUCUGAUUUCUGACCGUGCGCACCAAGCACCAUGGGCACCAAGCACCGUAUGCACCGAGGCACCAAAAUACCAAGGGCUGAGCGUGCACCGAGGUACCGAAGCACUGGGGGGCAGCUAAAGCAGCGGUGCCUGCCCUGACCGUGUGUAGGCACAGGACAAACCAGGGAGACACACAGGCUAAAGCCAUGGUGGGCGAAUAGAAAAACAACAGGGGAGAACACUCAGUAGGCGGGAUCGAGGACGUCACCCCAUGAAGGGGCCUGUCGGCAGCCCUGAUAUAAAGAGCUCAGUGAAUACCUGCCAAUAGGAGGAAAAUCCCAUAAGAAAUGUUUUGGUGGUCGACUUCGAAUUGAAAGUGAACAGUUUAAUGUUUACACUGGGCUACUUUACAUUAUUGUUGGUAAAGUUUGUUAAUUGAAUGACUAUUCUGAUAUUUCUAGUAUUUCUACCCAUGCUGCCUUGUUGUUUAGUAUUUUGUAUUCCUUUCAGUCAUGCUAAAGCAACACAGAUGCUUUAACAUUUAAAGACAGGCGUCCCUUGUCCCUCAAGCAUUGGGUUUAAUGUACUGGCAUCAAAUUAUGUUUAAAAUCAACACCAUUAGUAAUUGCUGGGAACAGUAUGACUUUCAGUUUGCAUGACCUCAACAUUUAAAGGUUACAACACUGUAAAUGUCAGCUUUCCUGCUGGGAACAGCACAUUACUAAUCUUUUAUUUUACUUUAUAUUAUUACCAAACAUGGCCGUGUUUUACAGUGGUCAUUUAUUGUGACUGAAAUGUGUCAUUUGACAGCUGUGCCCUACAACUUGUCUGUGUUGCCCUUCCUUUCAUACCGUAGCCAAAUCUUGAAGCUGCCUGGAAUUCUUUCUGGUGUAUUCUGUCCAUUCACUGUUGGUAUAUAGGGUCACAAAGCAAUGUCACUUCUAGGUAGCACAAACCUGCUUAUGUUUGUAAUCUAAUAUGGAUUUUUUUCUUGUAAAAUGUUAUUAUUGUUGCUAGUAGUACUAGUAUUUUUAGUAGAAGUAGUAGUUACUGUAGAACUUCAUUUAAUGGUUGUUAUACAGUAGUGUGCAAAUUUAUUAGAACACCGCAUUGCUUCUGUUGUUUUGAUUUGUUGUGCAUAUGAAAUUAGUAAGAGAAAAGGAACACAUAGCCACAAAUGAUAAAAUGUAUGAGACAUUUUAAAAGUUGUUUAAGAUGUCUUAAUUAAAGCAUAAAGUGCUGUAAUAUUUUCACGUGAGUGUUUCACUGAUUACUGACCGAAAAUUGGAAUUCUCACACCCUGAGGUUUUC